AGUGAACGCUGGCGGUAGGCCUAACACAUGCAAGUCGAACGGCAGCACAGUAAGAGCUUGCUCUUACGGGUGGCGAGUGGCGGACGGGUGAGGAAUACAUCGGAAUCUACUUUUUCGUGGGGGAUAACGUAGGGAAACUUACGCUAAUACCGCAUACGACCUACGGGUGAAAGCAGGGGAUCUUCGGACCUUGCGCGAUUGAAUGAGCCGAUGUCGGAUUAGCUAGUUGGCGGGGUAAAGGCCCACCAAGGCGACGAUCCGUAGCUGGUCUGAGAGGAUGGAUCGGCCCACCUGGACCUGAGAAACGGUCCAGACCCCGAGGGGAGGCCGCAGGGGGGAAUAUGGGAAAAUGGGGGAAAGCCUGACCCAGCCAUACCGGGGGGGUGAAGAAGGCCUUCGGGUUGUAAAGCCCUUUUGUUGGGAAAAAAAAGCAGCAGGUUAAUACCCCGCUGUUCUGACGGUACCAAAAGAAUAAGCACCGGCUAACUUCGU
rnacentral:rRNA from 1 species